CAAAAGCGUAUAUUAAAGUUGUUGCAGUUAAAAAGCUCGUAGUUGAACCUUGGGCUUGGCUGGCCGGUCCAUCUUUUUUGAUGCGUACUGGACCCAGCCGAGCCUUUCCUUCUGGCUAGCCUUUUGGCGAACCAGGACUUUUACUUUGAAAAAAUUAGAGUGUUCAAAGCAGGCCUUUGCUCGAAUAUAUUAGCAUGGAAUAAUAGAAUAGGACGUUAUGGUUCUAUUUUGUUGGUUUCUGGGACCAUCGUAAUGAUUAAUAGGGACGGUCGGGGGUAUCAGUAUUCAGUUGUCAGAGGUGAAAUUCUUGGGUUUACUGAAGACUAACUACUGCGAAAGCAUUUACCAAGGACGUUUUCAUUAA
rnacentral:rRNA from 1 species